rnacentral:lncRNA from 1 species
GACAAUCGCGUACACUUUUGACUUGGUGUCAGUUAGUUGUUACAUAUUUUGAAAAAAAUCUCCAUUGAUUUCAGAUGUAGAAUGGCUUCAAAAAAUGUUUUAAAGCUAUUCUCUAUAAAUGAUUUACUCGACAAUGAUAAUGAAAUCAUGAAAAAGGCUGAAAAUGCCUUGGAAUCGAAUCAUGUGGAAAGUAUGAAGUUUGAUGCUAACUUGAUGAUGAUAAGAGGAAGAGGAGAAGUUCAUGCAAGCAUGAAAGAUAAAUUCCAUCAUGUUAAAAUCACACUGAAUAAAUCUGAAGAUAUCAUAUCUACAAAUUGUGCUUUUCCUAGAGGAAUAAAAUGUCAUCAUAUCGGCCACAUUAGCUCUUGGACACUACAAUAUAUCUGUGACGGACAAGGAAUAUGAUCCACUGUGAGCAGAAAACUUAUCGCUGCUAUAAGAUUUUUAUAUGAAACAGUACCUGCCAAAACUUACACACAAUCUUAUAUCAGCUGAAACUUGACUGAUUAUCUGGGUAUAAAAUUAUACCCAGAUAAUCAUGUUAAGAUAAAGUGUAUUAGAUAUAUGUAAUAAAUAUUCAGAAUGUACCUUCACCAAUAUUUCUGUAAUAGUAUUGAAUAUAGUAACUGUUGGGGACAAGCU